CAUUUUGGUGAUGAUAACAAGAUGGCAGGAGGAUGAAAGACAGGAAUAUCCCACUCCCUCCCCCCAAAUAAACCGAAGUGAAUUAUAGUUGAAUUUUCAUCCAUAAAGUCUCUUGGUUUGAUUUUAUUUACUCAGUUGUGUUUACUUUAUUUUAUUGUUGUGUUUUGACUCCUCUGUUUAAACCGUGAGCUAUCUGGAAAAUCAGAACCUAGCUCAUUUCUUUGUGAAAAGGUUCGUGUUCUUGGAUUCCCCCUCACUCCCUCCUAGAGAAGCACAGAGUGAAAUGAAGCCUCUUUUGCUUUCUCUGUCCUGAAUCUUGUUUCAAAAAAAAUUCCGGUCACUUGUGCAGCACUUACACUCACACAAAGUAUCUGUAUAUAUGUGCCGACACUCAAAGACAAACCAUUUAGGGGCCUCUUAUCCAUUAAAUUUUAAUCUCUUUAAAAAAUCAGCAACGGAGAUGACAUCCGUUUCCUCGGAGACUGCUUCACAUUCUGGAACAGCGGCGUGUGCACUGUUCUGUUGCAAGAAAGGAUUCUUCUCAGAAUGGGAUGACUCGGGCUGGGUCCAUCUUCCGAUUUACGAUCAAUCAACUUCUUAAUUGAAAUUAAAAUUUAUCAGGGGAUACACUUGUCUUUGAGAGUACAAUUUUUAUCCACGAAGAAGAAACAGCAUAGUUUGGUUUCAAAUUUACUUGAAAACACCUACACAGAGUUGGAAGUUCCUAAAGUGUCAACAGCUGAAAUGUCCCAGGAACUGCGAACGCUUUUCAUGUAGAAUCAGAGAUGGAAAAUUACUGAAUUUAAAGAAUGAAGAAGAAGGACGGAGGGCUGAGCGCUCCGCUCAAGUGGGAACUGACCUCCGAUCCAUGUCAGUCUGUGGUGAGUGUCACAGCCCUGCAGGAAGCAACCGGGACCUAACUGGCUGCUCCGUUGGACACCUGUGGACAGAAUCUAGAAAGAAGAGGCAAUAUACCAGCACCACAAACCUCCAGGACCAAUCCUAGAACUGGCUGUAGCUCAUUAUGUAUCUCAGAAAGUGCAAGAAAAUGAUUUUAACUUACUCCAAAAAUUUAAGAAGCCUCCUAGCACAUUUUUUUUUCCUUGAGUGCCAAAGUUAUAAUCUUCACACAGAAAUAAGAAGGAAGCAUGAAGCAUAUCUGCUUUAUAACAUCCCAAAAUAUAUAAUGAAAAGCGUUGAAGUGUUUCUCAAAGAACACCUGAAUAAUUUCUAAAUAAAUUAAUAGCGAAUUUAAGAAUAAUCUCCCUGAGACAUUGAAGAAUGGGAAGGGGAUUAUUUUCUGGCCUUGAAUUUUGGUUCUAAGAGGUAACUAUAAUUUUAUUUCUGCCUGUGUUUUGAUUCGUAUGAGUAUCCAAAGCCCUGACAUUUGCUUUGAGAAACUUCCAUGCUGCAAAAAAUAGACUGCAGUCCGAGUUCACCUCGGCAGUUUUUGCAUAAAGACCUUGUGCCUGUGUGGACCACAGUUAUAUAUUAAUAGGCUUUGGUGUAAUUCCAGGGCUGAAAUCCACUAAGAAAUGGCAACAAAAAAAAACUAUAUAACUUUCCAUCAGUUCCGACUCGGCUUGGCCUCAGAUACUGUUUUAUGAACAAUCUAAACAUCUUAUCACAUCAAUUCACAGACACCAGGGUCUCUGGGCCUGUCUACUUCCUGAGGCACAGCAGUUUAGAUAGAAAUGAUUCCUAUGGAGCAUGGAGGGUGGAAAGUGGAUGGAACGCUGCUUCGUCAGAUCAAGAUUUGCAUCACGAUUGAUUAGCUGAGUUCCCCUAGCAAGACUGUGCCCCUGGGCUUAACUAUUCCCAUCUCGAAACUGGGAAUAAUAAAUAAAACCGACAUCAUAGAGGAAAACCUUUUUUUUAGAGUGGAAGCAAGGGCACAUGAACACUGAGUUCUUUUCCUUUCUCCAUGCAUCCUGUGCAAGAUUUAAAAGGAAGUGGUGACCAGUUUACAGACUGAGUUAAUCUUGAUGUGGCCGUUUAGAAUUCAUAUUCUGUCUCUUAAAGUACAAGGACUUCUUGAACUACAACUCUCCACUGGCUUCCAUAACAUUCAGCCUGCAAAUCAGGAAAGAUCGGCCUGCCAAGCAUUUAUAGCCACCCUCAAAUGUGAUCAUUAGAUGCAGGCUACACCGGACCCAUUGAGCUCAGCGUUUACUCUUGAAUAUUGCUGCUUAGGGAAAGGCUGACAUGGGUGCUUUUGAUGACAACAUGAUCAAAGGCAAGGUGUUUCUCCUACAUACCUCCGAACUACUAAGGGCUGCCCAGGUCCCAGUCCAUGAAUACAUCACAUCUUAUCUUCCUGUAAUCAUCUUGGUCUUUGUUUUACUAAUGUUAGGUAUGCUGCUCAAAAUCUUUGCCUAUUGACCUCAGCUUCAAAUCUCUUUCUCCUAUCACCAAACAAAAUACCCUAUAGUCCUGACCAGCCGGUUGACCCUCACAAAGGUCCUGAACACCUAUUUUUUUCUCCCAGACAACACAUUUGGAUAAUCACGAGACAGGAGCCACAGUGACUCUUACUCAAAUGACAUGUCCAGUUUAUCAUCCUUUUAGUAUCAAAGUUUUUCGGCAUUUUCCUGUUAAUUUAUGACUGAAAGUAUGCAUAGAUCUAUACAUGUACACUGUGUCUCCAAUCAUGUAGGUCAUUUUUCAACUUUUAUUGGGUUGAUUUCAUGAAGAACUAUCGCCUCUUAUGGCUGUAAGUCAUGGGCCUAUUUGAAUUAUUCUAACCAGAACCAAGUGCAAAUGUUCACAAAAUAAUCUGAGCUUAGAAUUAUAACACUGAUAUCUGAUAUAUGAAUUCCAGGUCUUAAUGAGCUUCUAGACUAUCAGAGAAGACACAACUUACAUAUUGCUGGUCAACACAAUGCCCACACAACCGACAGACACUUUUCCAACUGGCAUUUUGAACGAAUUAUGAGGAAUGCACCUUGAACUGAGGACAGAAGGUGUCACUACAGGUGACACUUUGUGGGGCUCAAUCUGAACAGGAACGAGAAUUCUCUAAACCUAGAUCUUCCUGACUCUCUUCUCAACACAAGGCUUUACCCCUCUCAGCAGCUUCCGAUUUGAUGUAUAUCAUAGCAUUUUUUUAGACGAUUUCACGUUCACCCUUACCUUCUCUCUUCUUCUAGAGGCUCUGAAGCAUACUAUUAAAAUAUUUCAAUUAAGCUUAACAAAACUACAAAAUAAUGGUUAUUUUUAAAAAUCUCAAGAGCCCAAGAAUUUGAAAUAGACACUAAUCAUCAGUAUUUUUGUGUCUUCCAUAUCAGCUACCCAGAUGGCUAUUCCAAUCAAACCUGAGAGAAACACAGCUUGGCUUUGACAUUCUGGUGCUGAGCAUGGUCUGGGAGGGGGAAGGAGGGCUCUGGGGCCAGUUGGCAAGGGCAGAAGCAGAUCUUGUCUACUACCCAAGGCUUCUUCAUCUUCAUGGAGUCAUAAGGUUUGAGUCUAUGGUGUGUCCAUUGGGCAGCAGGCUAGGAGGGAACCCAUAAUUUAAAACAUUUUUUUUCUUUUCAA